GACGAACGCUGGCGGCGUGCCUAACACAUGCAAGUCGAACGGAGCAGAUCCCUUCGGGGGUUUGCUUAGUGGCGAACGGGUGAGUAACGCGUGAGGAACCUGCCUUUCAGUGGGGGACAACAGUUGGAAACGACUGCUAAGACCGCAUAGGUAUGGACACUGCAUGGUGACCAUAUUAAAAGUGCCAAGGCACUGGUAGAGGAUGGACUUAUGGCGCAUUAGCUGGUUGGUGAGGUAACGGCUCACCAAGGCGACGAUGCGUAGCCGACCUGAGAGGGUGACCGGCCACACUGGGACUGAGACACGGCCCAG
rnacentral:rRNA from 1 species